AUUGAACGCUGGCGGCAUGCUUUACACAUGCAAGUCGAACGGCAGCGCGGGGCAACCUGGCGGCGAGUGGCGAACGGGUGAGUAAUACAUCGGAACGUACCCAGAAGUGGGGGAUAACGUAGCGAAAGUUACGCUAAUACCGCAUACGUUCUACGGAAGAAAGUGGGGGACCUUCGGGCCUCAUGCUUUUGGAGCGGCCGAUGUCUGAUUAGCUAGUUGGUGAGGUAAAGGCUCACCAAGGCGACGAUCAGUAGCUGGUCUGAGAGGACGACCAGCCACACUGGGACUGAGACACGGCCCAGACUCCUACGGGAGGCAGC
rnacentral:rRNA from 1 species